UACGAAGGGGGCUAGCGUUGUUCGGAAUUACUGGGCGUAAAGCGCACGUAGGCGGGCGAUUAAGUCAGGGGUGAAAUCCCAGAGCUCAACUCUGGAACUGCCUUUGAUACUGGUCGUCUCGAGAUCGGAAGAGGUGAGUGGAAUUCCCAGUGUAGAGGUGAAAUUCGUAGAUAUUGGGAAGAACACCAGUGGCGAAGGCGGCUCACUGGUCCGAUACUGACGCUGAGGUGCGAAAGCGUGGGGAGCAAACAGG
rnacentral:rRNA from 1 species